GGUUGGGCUGUUCGCCCAUGAAAGCGGUACUCGAGCUGGGUUCAGAACGUCGUGAGACAGUUUGGUCUCUAUCCUCUGCGCUCGUUGGAAUCUUGAGGAGACCUGCCCAUAGUACGAGAGGACCUGGGUGGACGAACCUCUGGUAUGCCGGUUGUCACGCCAGUGGCACGGCCGGUUGGCCACGUUCGGAAGGGAUAACCGCUGAAAGCAUCUAAGCGGGAAGCCUGCUCCAAGAUAAGGAUUCCGUGGGGCCUCGAGCCCCUGUAGACUCCAUGUGGACCACAUGGUUGAUAGGCCGGACGUGGAAGCCCCGCGAGGGGUGGAGCUGACCGGUACUAACAGUCGAAA
rnacentral:rRNA from 1 species